rnacentral:tmRNA from 1 species
GGGGCUGAUUCUGGAUUCGACGGGAUUCGCGAAACCCAAGGUGCAUGCCGAGGUGCGGUGGCCUCGUAAAAACCGCAAAAAAUAGUUGCAAACGACGAAAACUACGCACUAGCAGCUUAAUAACCUGCUUAGAGCCCUCUCUCCCUAGCCUCCGCUCUUAGGACGGGGAUCAAGAGAGGUCAAACCUAAAAGAGCUCGUGUGGAAACCUUGCCUGGGGUGGAAGCAUUAAAACUAAUCAGGAUAGUUUGUCAGUAGCGUGUCCAUCCGCAGCUGGCCGGCGAAUGUAAUGAUUGGACUAAGCAUGUAGUGCCGACGGUGUAGUAAUUUCGGACGGGGGUUCAAAUCCCCCCAGCUCCACCA